UUACAGGCAAUUGUGAUAAGAGCAACAAAGGGAAAGUCCCUGUCACCACAUGAGGGUAUAAGAGGGGCACAGCUGGCCAGGGAAUGAAUGUGAAAAGGCUCUGAGAUGGAGAGAAACCUGGUAAAUUUAAGAACCUGAAAGAAAGCCAGGGUGCUGAAGACCUGACUAAGUCUGGGAUCAUUCAAGACCUUAGAGGCCAUGUUAAGAAUGUUGGAAUAUUCUAGAAAUAAUGAUGAGCCACUGAAGAGUGUUCCACAGGCGAAUGAUGGAGUCUGGUUUGCAUUUAUCAAGAAUCACCUUAGUGGCUGAGCGCAGAGGACAUGGGAGUGGAGGCGGAGAGGACUCUUGGAGCUGUCACAGUUGCCCAGCAAGGACAGGGACCAAGGAGGAGAAUCAGAUGUGGAAGAAGACAUUUUUCCUGCCAAAGUAGUUAAGCUCAUUAUCCAGUUAAGACCUGUGCCAGCCAAACAGCUAAAGGUAACAGUUUUGAAUCAGAUGAGGACAAUGAUAAUGACCCUUUGCAAACACUAGUUUUUUGAGAAGAAACAGAUGAUAAAAUAGUUAAUGGCACUUCGACAUUUUCAAGGUUCAGGCAAAAUCAGAACAUUGAAAGAUAAGAGUUUACAGUUAAAAGUUUUUUUGCUUUUUAGGGCCGCACCCACGGUGGCAUGUGUAAGUUCCCAGGCUAGGGGUUGAAUCAGAGCUACAGCUGCCAGCCCACACCACAGCCACAGCAACAUGGGAUCCAAGCCACAUCUGCGACCUACACCACAGCUCAAGGCAACGCUGGAUCCCUGAUCUGCUGAGUGAGGCCAGGAAUUGAAUCCGCAUCCUCGUGGAUACUAGUCAGACUCGUUUCCACUUUGCCACAACAGGAACUCUCAAGAUUUUUUUUUUUUUUUUUUUUUUUAAGUAUUGCUGUCAACUAAAGAAUUCGAAAGAGGCUUGCUUAGAGAAAUUUUGUAGAAGAAUUUAUAUUUUUGAGUUUUAUUUCCUGAACAUGAUCCCCUUACUUGAGAAAUUUUCCAGCAAAAAAAAACAUAUCUAAUAGCAUUGGUUCUCUAAUAGUAUUUUUUACUUUGGUUAACAUUACCUGGGAAUACAAAAAUGCAGAAUGCUAUCUUCCUGACAUAUGAGUGUACAUGUCACUGAAUGAUAACUUUGCACAAAUAUCAUUCCUAAGUAAAGAUUAAAAUAAGUCCAUGUGGUUGCCAAGGGGGAGGGGGAGGGAGUGGAUGGACUGAGAAUCUGGGGUUAAUAGAUGCAGACUGUAGCCUUGGGAAUAGAUGGGCAAUGAGAUCCUGCUGUAUAGCACUGGGAACUAUGUCUAACCACUUCAGAUGAAUUGAUACAUGUAUGUGUAACCAGGUCACCACUCUGUACAGUAGAAAAUUGAUGGAACACUGUAAACCAGUUAUAACAAAA
rnacentral:lncRNA from 9 species